rnacentral:rRNA from 1 species
AUUGAACGCUGGCGGCAUGCCUUACACAUGCAAGUCGAACGGCAGCACGGGUGCUUGCACCUGGUGGCGAGUGGCGAACGGGUGAGUAAUACAUCGGAACGUACCUUAUCGUGGGGGAUAACGCAGCGAAAGCUGUGCUAAUACCGCAUACGCCCUGAGGGGGAAAGCGGGGGAUCGCAAGACCUCGCGCGAUUAGAGCGGCCGAUGCCUGAUUAGCUUGUUGGUUGGGUAAAAGCCCACCAAGGCGAAGAUCAGUAGCUGGUCUGAGAGGACGAUCAGCCACACUGUGACGGAGACACGGCCCAGACUCCUACGGGAGGCAGCAGUGGGGAAUUUUGGACAAUGGGGACAACCCUGAUCCAGCAAUGCCGCGUGAGUGAAGAAGGCCUUCGGGUUGUAAAGCUCUUUUGUCAGGGAAGAAACACCGGCUCUAACACAGUCCGGGAAUGACGGUACCUGAAGAAUAAGCACCGGCUAACUACGUGCCAGCAGCCGCGGUAA